rnacentral:tRNA from 1 species
CAUGCAAUGAACUUAAAAUUCAUUUAUAAAGAUUAAUCUUUUUUUAGAA